rnacentral:tRNA from 1 species
GUAUAUAUAGCUCAAGUGGUAGAGCACAUGCUUAGCAUGCAUGAGGUUCUGGGUUCAAUCCCCAGUAUCUCCU